UAAAAAAUAAUAAUAAAACUAUGAAAAAAUAAAAAACAAAUCAUUUCAUAUAAAUUGUUUAUGAAAAUUAGCAAAACCGUAGUGAUUUUCGUAAUGAAUAUUUGUCUGAAAAAAUCUCUUUUGUAACUAAAUCUCCGUUUUGACAUCACUUUCAUCAUAAUCUGAAAAUAAAAACACCAUCGAAACGAAUACAAAAAUCAAAACAACAACAACAAAAAUUUAUAACAACAAAACCGAAAAUAAUAAUUAAGUUUAGCUCAAAACCAAAAAAACCCAAAACCGGCGUUUUAGGAGGAAUUCGGCGGAAGUGGCAUGUAUUGUGCUCCAACCAAACUACGGAUAAAAAGAAAAAUUUUUUUUUUAUAUAAUUUGAGAACAAAUUUCGCAAAUAAUUUAAAUUGAUUUCUUAAACGAAGUAUCGAAAUUUUAGUACGGAUUACGCAACACUUAAAAAAAAGAAGGAAACCGCUAAGCCGCUGCUAUAAACAGUUUGCAAGGUUUUUAAAACAAGGCUUAUAAGCUAAGCUUACAAGCUCCUUAUAACAAGAGGAAAAAAAGAAACCAAAAAUUAAUGAGAACUAAAAACUGGGAAUAAAGAACGCACUUAGUGAAAUUAGAAACAGUAAGGCAAAAAAACAAAAAAAAAAAAAAAACAAAAAAAACAAAUACUCAAUAAUAACAAAAUUGAAUUUUCAGGAAUUCAAAGAAAGAAAAACCAAUGAUAAUAAUAAUAUAAAACACAUCUGUCCACUAAGAAAACUAGUACAUUUAAAUUAGCACGGCGGAGAAGCUAAACUCUAAAAAAGCAACUUGGUGUGGCCAAAUAUUGGACUGCUAGUGAAGCCAAGACGGUGGAUGUAUUAUUAGCAAACAAAAGACUAAAAUAAAAAAAACAACAACGGAAUUUUGUACACGAAGCAGCACUUUUUAAGCCUUAGUUUAAAAAAAUAAAAAAGCAAACCAAACAAUUUAAAAUUGGAAACAAAACUAAGACCUUUAAUUAAGAAAGGUUAACAUUAACCUUGAGAAUUCCUGCAACUCGAAUACAACUCUGCUUUCUCAUUGUUAAACACUUUUCUCCAAACAGCAACUAAACCAACAGCAGCAGCAAGUUAUUAAAUUUAAAUUAAACAUAAUUUUUAAAGCGAACGAUUUUGUUGUAAUUUUAUUUUUUAAUUUUUUUUUUUUUUACAUAUAUUCUUCCUCCUCGACCCUCAUUCCCUCAGUUAAAAAACAAAUGCAAACU